rnacentral:misc_RNA from 1 species
UGUCAGGAUCUUUGUUGCUUUGU